CUUGGCGACAAUAGAGCCGUGGAACCACCUGAUCCCAUACCGAACUCAGCAGUGAAACGCGGCAUCGCCGAUGGUAGUGUGGGGCUUCCCCAUGUGAGAGUAGGUCAUCGCCAAGC
rnacentral:rRNA from 1 species